GGUCAAGAACGUGCCGGCAUAGUCGCUUGAGGACCUCUACCUGCUCCACUACGCCGGCGAAAAUCGUGCCAGAAAUCCAACAGGGCUACUACCCUCCCCGUCCUCGGGCAAACUGGGGUGUGCCCGAUGCACCAGCAACACAGCAGCCUGGAGCUUAUCCUGGCGCACCACCAUAGUAUGGCCAGCAACCUUAUGGCAGAGCAGCCCCCCUGGCACUGGCUAUGACUACUAUAACCAAUAGCAACAACCCCAACAGCAUUUUUUGCCACUGGAACUGCUGCACUUGCUGAUGCUAGCAACUACAAUUACAACAAGCCUGCUACUCAUGCUUCACAAGGUUAUGGUGAUUAUAUGUACUCUCAACAGAGUGGUGGGCAUCAAGCUUAUGAUUACUCUGGUUAUCAGACCCAAGGACUAUCUUACUUGCAGCUGCCUGGAUAUGAUCAGCAGAACUAUGGGGCAUCUGGGGCAUCAGCUGCUAACUCAACUCAGGAUGGUGGUACUGCACCAAUUAAAUCUAUGGUGGUCUAGGUGGCGCUGGUCAAGCAUCUUCAGGGCAGCAAACUUCAACUCCAGCCACUGGAGGCCAACCGGGUUAUCCUAAUCAACCACCUAUACUUGUGUUGCUGCAUCAAGCUACACGGUGCAAGGGUCUGCCCCUCGAUCUGGGUUUAAAUCGGCGCGUAAGCGAAGGCGUAUUUCUCCUUCACGCCUUCGACGUCGACCUCCCUUUCCCCCUGGUGCAGUACUGUUUAAUCGGGCAGACCUGUUCUGGCCCACAAUACCAUUUCGCUUUUCCUAAAAUCUAGGAAAUCAGUAUCUUUCGAAAGAUUCAAGAACGUUUGAGGAGUGACCAGAACCAUUGAAGACUUUGCUGAGCAAGGCAAGCAACCUACUUUGAUCAUCCUGAACCCAUAUUUACA